rnacentral:rRNA from 1 species
AUUGAACGCUGGCGGCAGGCCUAACACAUGCAAGUCGAGCGGAUGAAGGGAGCUUGCCUCUGGAUUUAGCGGCGGACGGGUGAGUAAUGCCUAGGAAACAGCCUGGUAGUCGGGGAUAACGUCCGGAAAAGGGCGCUAAUACCGCAUACGACCUGCGGGAGAAAGUGGGGGAUCUUCGGACCUCACGCUAUCAGAUGAGCCUAGGUCGGAUUAGCUAGUCGGUGGGGUAAAGGCCUACUAAGGCGACGAUCCGUAACUGGUCUGAGAGGAUGAUCAGUCACACUGGAACUGAGACACGGUCCCGACUCCUACGGGAGGCAGCAGUGGCGAUUAUUGGACAUUGGGCGAAAGCCUGAUCCAGCCAUGCCGCGUGUGUGAAGAAGGUCUUCGGAUUGUAAAGCACUUUAAGUUGGGAGGAAGGGCAGUAAGUUAAUACCUUGCUGUUUUGACGUUACCAACAGAAGAAGCACCGGCUAACUUCGUG